rnacentral:rRNA from 1 species
GACGAACGCUGGCGGCGUGCUUAACACAUGCAAGUCGAACGGUAAGGCCCUUCGGGGUACACGAGUGGCGAACGGGUGAGUAACACGUGGGUGAUCUGCCCUGCACUUCGGGAUAAGCCUGGGAAACUGGGUCUAAUACCGGAUAGGACCACUGCCUGCAUGGGUGGUGGUGGAAAGCUUUUGCGGUGUGGGAUGGGCCCGCGGCCUAUCAGCUUGGUGGUGGGGUGAUGGACUACCAAGGCGACGACGGGUAGCCGGCCUGAGAGGGUGACCGGCCACACUGGGACUGAGAUACGGCCCAGACUGCUACGGGAGGCAGCAGUGGGGAAUAUUGCACAAUGGGCGCAAGCCUGAUGCAGCGACGCCGCGUGGGGGAUGACGGCCUUCGGGUUGUAAACCUCUUUCAGCACCGACGAAGCGCAAGUGACGGUAGGUGCAGAAGAAGGACCGGCCAACUACGUGCCAGCAGCCGCGGUAA